rnacentral:rRNA from 1 species
AUUGAACGCUGGCGGCAUGCCUUACACAUGCAAGUCGAUCGGCAGCACGGGGCAACCUGGUGGCGAGUGGCGAACGGGUGAGUAAUGCAUCGGAACGUACCUUUCAGUGGGGGAUAACGUAGCGAAGGUUACGCUAAUACCGCAUAUUCUGUGAGCAGGAAAGCAGGGGAUCGCAAGACCUUGCGCUGAUUGAGCGGCCGAUGUCUGGUUAGCUAGUUGGUGAGGUAAAGGCUCACCAAGGCGACGAUCUGUAGCGGGUCUGAGAGGAUGAUCCGCCACACUGGAACUGAGACACGGUCCCGACUCCUACGGGAGGCAGCAGUGGGGAAUUUUGGACAAUGGGGGCAACCCUGAUCCAGCCAGGCCGCGUGAGUGAAGAAGGCCUUCGGGUUGUAAAGCUCUUUCGGCCGGGAAGAAAUCGCACGGGCUAAUACCCUGCGUGGAUGACGGUACCGGAAUAAGAAGCACCGGCUAACUACGUGCCAGCCGCCGCUGUAAAAC